UACGAAGGGGGCGAGCGUUGUUCGGAAUUACUGGGCGUAAAGGGCGCGUAGGCGGCGACCCAAGUCAGAUGUGAAAGUCCUGGGCUUAACCUGGGGACUGCAUUUGAUACUGGGUUGCUUGAAUUCGGGAGAGGAUAGCGGAAUUCCCAGUGUAGAGGUGAAAUUCGUAGAUAUCUGGAGGAACACCGGUGGCGAAGGCGGCAUCCUGGACCACGACUGACGCUGAUGAGCGAAAGCCAGGGGAGCAAACGGG
rnacentral:rRNA from 1 species